UACGUAGGGUGCAAGCGUUGUUCCGGAAUUAUUGGGCGUAAAGAGCUCGUAGGCGGUUUGUCGCGUUCUGCUGUGAAAACCCGAGGCUCAACCUCGGGCCUGCAGUGGGUACGGGCAGACUAGAGGUGCGGUAGGGGAGAUUGGAAUUCCUGGUGUAGCGGUGGAAUCGCAGAUAAUCAGGAGGAACACCAAUGGCGAAGGCAG
rnacentral:rRNA from 1 species